GGAGCCUAGUGAAAUUGCUUCUGCUAUAGAUUUAAUGGGUUUUCUUCAUUAUUUUAGUUUAAUUUUGUUGUUAUUUUUAUUUUUUCCUAGAUUCUUUUAAUUGGGCUAUAUCUCUUUAAAAUACCCUUUUGGGGCUAAAUUUGUCCAUAUCUUUAAGCAUCUUUUAUGAUUAAGUGACUUAAUGGCACUUUAGAGUUGUCCUUAGCUUUAGUUCUGGAAGUUAUGAGGCUUUUGAAUUUAAGUAUAAUUCGCAUUAUUUAGGGCUUUCAAAGGUGGGAAAAAGUUGGGCACUUUCAUACAGUAGUUUGUAUAGAUGAAGUGUUAAUUUUUCAAUUAAUAAUCAUAUCUUGUCUGGUAUUAUUGGUGUCAUCUUGGGGAAUUUGGCAUGGGUUUGUUGAAUCGGGGACUUAUCUGUUAGCAAUAUAUCAUAUAAAUAAACAAUAAAUCUAUUAAUUCAAUAAAUGGAAAAUCUUAAAGGGAAUAAUAUGCAUGCAUAUUAUUCGGCAUCCAAAUAAUUCUAUUUUAAUGCAAAAUAAAUCUAUUCUAGCACAAAAUAAAUCUAUGCAUUUAAGAAAUUUAUAUUAUAGAAAUUCAAAUCCUACAAAUCUACUAAUAUUAAAUUAAAAAUAAAAGUAGAAGAAAGUAGCCUGAUUGAAGGCAGGUCGAAGCGCGUAGACGCUGUCCCAAAGAAGUAUUUGCCCCCACGUACGGGUCACCCGGCAAUUCUUCUCGGAGAUACGACGACCCUACAACUUCUUCUUCGGCAUGUCUCGGAAGAAGUCAAAGCGAACCUGAUCGGACUUGCAGAUCCAGCAAAGAACGGAAUGAAAGGAACUAAAUAAACUGAAUAAAAAUGUAAAAAUAAAAUUUGGAAGUGGCUAAGAGGGAGAAGAAUUUUUCCAGAAUUUUUUCACUAUUUUUCUGAAAUUUUUCCGUACUUGGAUGAAAUAGGGGGGUUUAUAUAGGGAUUUAUAACAGGGGCAAUAUGGUCUUUUCGGCGGACACGUCCGCGUCCGCGCUCUUCGUGCGAACGUGGGCAACGUGCGCCAGUUGGCGCCCGCUGGCGUGUUCCCAUUUAAACCAAAAACGCCCGUUGGGCGUUUCCAAUUCAAACGGGCACGCCCGUUUUAUUUCUCAAACGCGCACGUGGCCCGAGACCGGCCGCGUGCGUAUUUAAUUCCUUCUUUAAAAGCCUGGUUGUUUCCAAAACCAAACGCCCACGCGGACCGAGACUCGGCCGCGUGCGCAUUUAAUUUUUCCUACAAUCCCCCACAAAAAUUAAUUUUUUUAAAAUAAUUUUUAAAAUCAAAACAAAAUGCUGGAUAUCUUAUAUUAUGUAAUAGGUGUAGGUACCUUUCGGUUUGAACCUUCACUUAGUGACAAUUGAUUACAUCUGUGGAGCCAAGGUGGUAUUAACCUUGAAUCUCGGUCCAUAGCUCAGAUUAAAUCAACAACACACAUAAUAUAGCCCGAUCUAGGUUCUAAGCGGGUUGCGCUGUUAUGGCCAUGCGCAGAUAUCUAUCAUGUGCUUUUUAGGGAAUCGCCCAUUUUCCAUAAUCGCGGCUUCACGACUGCACAUAUAGGUGAGUCCUAAUAAGGAAGCUAGCAAGGAAGCUCCUGCCUCUUGGGUCUCGGACUU
rnacentral:lncRNA from 1 species